GUGGCAGAGUGGCCUUGCUGC
rnacentral:siRNA from 1 species